GUAGGGUGCAAACGUUAAUCGGAAUUACUGGACGUAAAACGUACGCAGGCGGUUUCGUAAGUCUGAUGUGAAAUCCCCGGGCUCAACCUGGGAAUUGCAUUGGAGACUGCAAGGCUAGAAUCUGGCAGAGGGGGGUAGAAUUCCACGUGUAGCAGUGAAAUGCGUAGAUAUGUGGAGGAACACCGUUGGCGAAGGCAGCCCCCCGGGUCAAGAUUGACGCUCAUGCACGAAAGCGUGGGGAGCAAACAGGAUUAGAUACCCUGGUAGUCCACGCCCUAAACGAUGUCUACUAGUUGUCGGGUCUUAAUUGACUUGGUAACGCUACUAACGCGUGAAGUAGACCGCCUGGGGAGUACGGUCGCAAGAUUA
rnacentral:rRNA from 1 species